GCUUUCCGGCUGCUGGCUACAGACUUCACUGUUCACCAAUAGUUUAAGUCUUUGGAGUUCACAUCAACAUGGCUUCUAACUCCAAUAUAUCAAGCAUGAGGCGACUGGUGGAGCAACUCAAGUUAGAGGCCAGUGUGGAGAGGAUCAAGGUGUCUCAAGCAGCCGCAGAGCUACAGCAGUACUGUUUGCAGAACGCAGGCAAAGAUGCUUUGCUGGUGGGGGUCCCCACAGGCAGCAACCCCUUCCGAGAGCCACGUUCAUGCUCCAUUGUGUGAUGCAUCUGAGUAUACAGCACAUCUCAAGAUACAGAAAGAAGACUAUGACAAUAUGGAGCCCAAUAGACAUGUUUUGUACUUAAUGAGGACCAAUGUUGUUAUCUUGGAUACAAAACGGAUGUUUAAGCCAGGUUCUAAAUUGUUCCUUGCAAUCUUGCUGCAUCCCU